rnacentral:tRNA from 1 species
GCCGGGAUAGUUCAAAGGUCGUAACGUGAACCUCAUACAUUCAAGGCGAGGGUUCGAUUCCCUCUCCCGGCU